rnacentral:rRNA from 1 species
UACGAAGGGGGCUAGCGUUGCUCGGAAUCACUGGGCGUAAAGGGUGCGUAGGCGGGUCUUUAAGUCAGGGGUGAAAUCCUGGAGCUCAACUCCAGAACUGCCUUUGAUACUGAAGAUCUUGAGUUCGGGAGAGGUGAGUGGAACUGCGAGUGUAGAGGUGAAAUUCGUAGAUAUUCGCAAGAACACCAGUGGCGAAAGCGGACUCACUGG